CACGUAGGGCGCAAGCGUUGUCCGGAAUUAUUGGGCGUAAAGAGCUCGUAGGCGGUCUGUUGCGUCUGCUGUGAAAACUCGGGGCUUAACCCCGAGCCUGCAGUGGAUACGGGCAGACUAGAGGUAGGUAGGGGAGAAUGGAAUUCCCGGUGUAGCGGUGAAAUGCGCAGAUAUCGGGAGGAACACCAAUGGCGAAGGCAGCUCGCUGGGACGGUACUGACGCUGGGACGCGAAAGCGUGGGGAGCAAACAGG
rnacentral:rRNA from 1 species